GACGAACGCUGGCGGCGUGCCUAAUACAUGCAAGUUGAGCGCUGAAGGUUGGUACUUGUCCCAACUGGAUGAGCAGCGAACGGGUGAGUAACGCGUGGGGAAUCUGCCUUUGAGCGGGGGACAACAUUUGGAAACGAAUGCUAAUACCGCAUAUAAACUUUAAACACAAGUUUUAAGUUUGAAAGAUGCAAUUGCAUCACUCAAAGAUGAUCCCGCGUUGUAUUAGCUAGUUGGUGAGGUAAAGGCUCACCAAGGCGAUGAUACAUAGCCGACCUGAGAGGGUGAUCGGCCACAUUGGGACUGAGACACGGCCCAAACUCCUACGGGAGGCAGCAGUAGGGAAUCUUCGGCAAUGGACGAAAGUCUGACCGAGCAACGCCGCGUGAGUGAAGAAGGUUUUCGGAUCGUAAAACUCUGUUGGUAGAGAAGAACGUUGGUGAGAGUGGAAAGCUCAUCAAGUGACGGUAACUACCCAGAAAGGGACGGCUAACUACGUG
rnacentral:rRNA from 1 species